AGGGUACCUGAGAGUUAGGGGGGCCUGGAGUGGGAAGGAAAGACAGCUUUUCAAGGGUUCCCAACAGCGCCUCCUACACGUAUUAGCAAGGAGGGACCACGCUCUCCCAGAGACAAAGUCAUCUCUGUGUAACUCGGGGUUCCGUUUCCGCAGUUCGUUGAAAUCUCCUGGUAGUAGCGUGGGUGAGUGAGUUGGGGGAGGGCUAGGAGGGAGUGGGGGGAACCUUGGAGCCCCUCUUCUUGGGGCUGGGGGAGCGCGCCGUGAGCCGGAGGCAUUGUUCAAGGCCCCCAGCGCCAGCUGGUAUGUCACGCGUGUGAGAUCACAUUCCCCCACCCCCACCCCUCCUUCAUUACUUGGGAGGAGGGGGGAAUAGGCGCGUUGGAAAUGUAACAGUCGCCUGCAAGAAGUCGAAGCCCCUCUUGAGCCAAGAUCUAUUGAAGGCUGGGUGAUUAAAGAGGCUUAAAUUGAAUAUGGUCUGAAGGCUGGAGGUCCGAGGUCAUAUUCAGGCAAAUAUCCCUCUGACUCUCAGUCCGGAGGAAAAAAUGAGAGAAAAAUAGAGAGAGAAAGAGAGACAGAGAUAGAGACGGAGAGACAGAGAGUCAGAGACAGAGAGAUUCCUCUAACUACUCCUUCAGGAUGCAGAUCGAAGCCCUUCAAACUCCCUUGCCUGCCAAGAAGAUGACUAGCUCUCUAAUAUUUUGAAGAUGCCACUUCUAGGGUUUGUAUCCUAUUUUGUCUGCGAACUUCCUUGUCCCCCACCAAAAGAAAAUCCCCAAAGGGUCACAGAGUUCAGUGAAAAUCCUACAAGGUUUUCCAGAACAAAUAACAGACACUGACCCCUGGCCCUCUCUUUGCAUAAGAAUUAACAUCAGUAUUCAGGAGUCACUGCCAGUGGCAACUGGGACUGGGCAAAUGCCAGAUUCUGAUUUAAAACUCUGAUUUUUUUAAGAACCCAGAAGAAAAGGGGGGACUUGGAACUCAUCUGCAUUACAGAUCAGGCCUCUUUGAGAAAAUCAACCAUCCAUAAUUCAUUACAUGUUUCCUGCAGGGGCUGGAGACAGCAGUGAUCCUAGCAACGGAGUCAUAGCAACAGCAGCAAACUUCAACCAAUCCAGGGAUGGGCUUUCUGAUCCUGCACAGUCAAUGGGGGUAGAAGGGGAGAAACCAAAUGUUGUCAAGCUAUCCUUUAGGUCAAGGCCAAGCCCCGAUUCAGCAAAUCUGCAACUGGACUUUGAAAAUUAAUAACUAAUACAUUGAUCGGGACCCAGGGGGGGAAGGGAGAUGGACUCAUGCCAUUUGGUGUGUGUAUUUGUUCCCCACAAAAUAUUAGCUGAACCCAGGACAAAGGUUUCAAUGAAAAGAGGCAAUCUCUAACCAAACUGGUUACACUGAAUAGAAACCACCAGAUUACUAAAAGCAAGAUGUGAUCAUCAUUGAAGGAACAGCUUAACAUUGCAAUGAGAGAAGUACUUUAGCCUGAUACACUACUAGAGGACUACCUGUAUUGACACUUGAGAGGUUUUUGUGUGUGUGCCUAUUUACGGGAAAAUCUGUAUUUCACCCUCUGCCUUUCAUCUUCAAAAUCAGUGUUGGGCUUUAGAAUUCUGUUGAGAAGUGUUCUUGACAUGUCUUAACUGUUUGAUGGCUUAGCUACCAAAUAGAGACUCCACUUUAUUCGACAUAUCUGAUCUUGAAUAGAUGAGUGGCCACAUAAGAAUAUGUCUUUUACACUUUACUGUGCUUCCCUGUAAAGAGACAAAACAGGUGAGCCUUUUGGACCGGGUUUAAAGCCUUUGAACACUUCACAAAUAGAAGCUGGCAGUCCUGAUUUUGAAAUAUUGGGGCUUGUGUUUGGCCCUUUGAAAGGUUUCCCCACUGCACAAUCUAUCUUACUUCUAACUUCGUCCUGAUGGAAUAAUAAGGUAAAUUUACAUCGAGUCAAUAUGCUGGCCAUCCAAAAAGAAAGGGGGUUUUGUUGAAGUUGCCGCCAUCACCCAACAAGGGGACCAGAGACCAUAAAUAAGUUGGCAAGUCAGAGCCUUCGCUCUGAAACAAACAAACAAAAAAAAGCACCUUGGAUCGAGCUUUGUGAACAAACACACAUGUAUAUAGCAAGAUACAGCUUAUUUCCUCCUGUAUUUUCUUAGGAAAUUUCGAGUAAUUUCAUUUACACACAUGUUUUUGUGAUGAGCCUUUUUAAUGUAAUUUAUUCCAUGUGAAAUGAUUCAGUGAAUGAUUUUAUCAGCCAGCAUGCCACAAAUACCUGAUAUUUACAAAGUGAAGGCACACAGGGAUGGUUCUAUCCUAUACACAGGUAGUCAGGCAGUAUAACAGUCAAGCGGAAUCCUUUAAAGCAUUCUUCUUCUGGAGAAAAGGAAAACUGUUGAUCUUACUUGGAAGUGACACAAAAGCUGAAAUAAGCAAGAUUUAACAUCCAAAAGUUCAUUCUAAAAAUAGAGCCAAACCUGAGGAAAUUCAUCUUUCAUCAGCAACUGCUGCUUAAAACUUACUGAGUCUGUUUGGGGAGAAUAUUUUUGGGGUGGGGUGCUGUGGACAAAUACCAGAUGGGUGUAGUGGGGAGGCAGAAGAAUCCAGGGAAAAGAAUAAUGAGUGACAAAGUAGAAAGGGAGCACGUGGAGUAAUAGAAAAUACCUAGAUAUGGGAGCAGGGAGCCUGAAUUGUUUGCUUCUCCUCUUACCUGUAGAAUAAACUGUAAGAUCUGAAGGUUACACUCAGGGGUCUUUAAAAUCCUUUCCAAUGCUAAGACUCGGUAAUUGGGAGGAGAGAAGGGGAAGAGCAUCCUGAAUGACUAUCAAUAGAUGAGGAAGGUAAAACAAAAACAUAGGCUACAUUGCCCCUCAUUCCAAUUCUCUUGAGACUUUACUACAUGCCUCAAAUUUGUCAUAAUGGAUGGAAGGGAGAACCAUCCUGAGAAAGAGAGCUAGGUAAUGAUCUCUGAUUAGUUCCUACAUCCAGAGAGAUUUAAAAAGAAAGAAUUGGAAGCCUCAAUGGAAAACUCCCUCCCUCUCCUCCUCUAUGCAAGCCUGGCAGGGGAAGGCCAAGGGAUCAGUCAGAGAUGAUGACUCCUCAUUGUAUCUUCCACUGAGGGGGGCCAUGGCAAUGACACAUGGCCUAGCCUUCCUUCCAGAAGGGUGGGAGGAGUCAGAGGAAAUGACCCUUGCUGACCCCUUCUUCAGGGAGUACCACUGAAAUGACCAUUGAUCCAGUCAGUGAUUUCUUUCCUUCUAAAGAAGAGACAAGGGAAUUAACCACCCACUCAAACCAAGGCUAUUCCUUUCUUUCUUUCUUUCUUUCUUUCUUUCUUUCUUUCUUUCUUUCUUUCUUUCUUUCUUCCUUUAUCUCUUUCUUUCUUCCUUCCCUUUUUUCUUCUUUCUCUCUUUCUUUCUCCCUUCCUUCCUUUUUGACUCUAUCUUUUUCUUUCUUCCUUUCUUUCUUUUUUCUUCUUUUUUCCUGCUCUUUCUUUCUCUUUUCCUCUUUCAUACUCUCAUUCUCUCUCAUUUUCAUUAUCUUUCUCAUUCUAAUAUUUUCUUCUCCAACCCAAGGAUAAAAGUGAAAGAAAAAGGGGAAGCCCUUAUUCCUUCAGGAGGGGAACCCACUAUUCUUUCUCAAAAAAGAAAAGAGACCAUCUCAUAAGCUUUUCCUUCUGUGAAGUUGACCAGAAGGAGCAAGACAGCAAUAAUGUGAGGAAAUGGUUCACAGGGAGGUUCAUCUCAUCCCUCUCUGGCACAAAAGUUUUUUAAAUGACUCUCCAUUCCAUUCAAUGUGAGAUUUGGGGGAGGGGACAGAUCUUUGGUUCUUUCCCCCAGAGCUAGUCUGAGAAAAUGACCCUUGACCCUGGGCUCUGUAGGGGGUUAAGGUUCAAGAGAGGUCAGGAAGAAUAACUCUCUAGCCCAUCUCUUUCUCAGUAGGGGUUGAGAAAAUAAGGAAUCAGGGAGAAUGCCAUCAGUGGAAUUUCAAGUCACUUCUGAAAAGGCCAAGCAUUUUUUACCCAUGGACCCUCCAGGGGAAAUUGAACACCAGAGAAACAGCCAAGCCCAUUUGAAGCAAGAAUGAGGCUCAAACUCUCUGACCUAGAAAUCAAGAAGAAUGAAAAAAAAUUAAAUAGAAAAAAAACAUCAGGGACGUUGUAUGAAAUCAGGGGGCGCCUGCUGGAGAGGUGUAAUCAAGACUGAGCCAUAAAUUGUAAUGGUUUUGAUUAAAGAAGGAAUUGCCAAAGUAA